rnacentral:rRNA from 1 species
UGGUAAUGCCGGAUGCUCCGACUCCUCGCAUGGGGUGUCGGGAAAGAUUUCAUCGGUAUGGGAUGGGGUCGCGUCCUAUCAGGUAGUCGGCGGGGUAACGGCCCACCGAGCCUACGACGGGUAGCCGGCCUGAGAGGGCGACCGGCCACAUUGGGACUGAGAUACGGCCCAGACUCCUACGGGAGGCAGCAGUGGGGAAUAUUGCACAAUGGGCGCAAGCCUGAUGCAGCGACGCCGCGUGCGGGAUGACGGCCUUCGGGUUGUAAACCGCUUUUGAUCGGGAGCAAGCCUUCGGGUGAGUGUACCUUUCGAAUAAGCACCGGCUAACUACGUGCCAGCAGCCGCGGUAAUACGUAGGGUGCAAGCGUUAUCCGGAAUUAUUGGGCGUAAAGGGCUCGUAGGCGGUUCGUCGCGUCCGGUGUGAAAGUCCAUCGCUUAACGGUGGAUCUGCGCCGGGUACGGGCGGGCUGGAGUGCGGUAGGGGAGAC